AAGUCGUAACAAGGUUUCCGUAGGUGAACCUGCGGAAGGAUCAUUAUUGAAAUAAACCUGAUGGGUUGUUGCUGGCUCUCUAGGGAGCAUGUGCCAGUUCACGCCUUGUCAUCUUUAUAUCUCCACCUGUGCACCUUUUGUAGGCCUUCCAAGGUCUAUGUUUCAUUUACCCCCAAUGUAUGUUAAUAGAAUGUUGUGCAUAUAAAAUCUAUACAACUUUCAGCAAUGGAUCUCUUGGCUCUC
rnacentral:misc_RNA from 1 species